rnacentral:rRNA from 1 species
ACCCUCCAAGGCUAAAUACUACCUAGUGACCGAUAGCGUAUAGUACCGUGAGGGAAAGGUGAAAAGAACCCCGGGAGGGGAGUGAAAUAGAACCUGAAACCCUGCACUUACAAGCUGUGGAAGCACAGUUCUUGUGUGACCGCGUACUUUUUGUAGAACGGGCCAACGAGUUACGUUAAGUAGCAAGGUUAAGCACUUAAGGUG